rnacentral:rRNA from 1 species
UACGAAGGGGGCUAGCGUUGCUCGGAAGCACUGGGCGUAAAGCGCACGUAGGCGGAUCUUUAAGUCAGGGGUGAAAUCCUGGAGCUCAACUCCAGAACUGCCUUUGAUACUGGGGAUCUCGAGUCCGGAAGAGGUGAGUGGAACUCCGAGUGUAGAGGUGAAAUUCGUAGAUAUUCGGAAGAACACCAGUGGCGAAGGCGACUCACUGGACACGUAUUGACGCUGAGGUGCGAAAGCGUGGGGAGCAAACAGG